GGUGACUCAGUGGUCGAGUGCCUGCCUUGCAUGCAUGAGGCCCUGGGUUCAAUUCCUCAGCACCA
rnacentral:tRNA from 1 species